GAUGAACGCUGGCGGCGUGCCUAAUACAUGCAAGUCGAGCGAACGGACGAGAAGCUUGCUUUUCUGAUGUUAGCGGCGGACGGGUGAGUAACACGUGGAUAACCUACCUAUAAGACUGGGAUAACUUCGGGAAGCCGGAGCUAAUACCGGAUAAUAUUUUGAACCGCAUGGUUCAUAAGUGAAAGACGGUCUUGCUGUCACUUAUAGAUGGAUCCGCGCUGCAUUAGCUAGUUGGUAAGGUAACGGCUUACCAAGGCAACGAUGCAUAGCCGACCUGAGAGGGUGAUCGGCCACACUGGAACUGAGACACGGUCCAGACUCCUACGGGAGGCAGCAGUAGGGAAUCUUCCGCAAUGGGCGAAAGCCUGACGGAGCAACGCCGCGUGAGUGAUGAAGGUCUUCGGAUCGUAAAACUCUGUUAUUAGGGAAGAACAUAUGUGUAAGUAACUGUGCACAUCUUGACGGUACCUAAUCAGAAAGCCACGGCUAACUACGUG
rnacentral:rRNA from 1 species